ACACACACGGGUCAGCACUGGAUUCUAUUCAGGGUGCUGAGUCAUCCCUGGACCGGCUCCCCCUUCUCCAGGAAGCCCAACAAAGCAGGACAAGGCUUCCGUUUCCGGCCGCCUUGCCGAAGCGGCCAGCAGGUGUCCGGGAGGGGGAAAGGAUCAGAGUUCCAGCUCUGUGUCAACCUCUGGAACUGCCCUCCCGCACAGGUCGGACGGCGGCCCCCAGCCUGCCGCCGUGGGGGAGAUCCAGUGAGGAAGUGUUAGCCGCAGGGCUGGGAAACCCAAGCCCCCUCCGGCUCGCCCCCAGGAACCCUCUGGGAAAGCCAGCUGGCCAUCCGUCACCGCGAGGAUGUUUCCCAGAGAGCCCCCCUUAGGAGCCCAAGGACAGGCGCCCCCCCUUCAGCCUCCUUUUUCCUCUUCAGGCCCUACCUCCAAAGACCCAGCUUGUCUCCCUCAACUCACAAAUCCACCUAACGCCUGACAUCCGAACAGCGCACGGACUAGGCAAUCACGGGCAAUCCAAGUUUUCCCGACUUGCAGGGAAGGACGAAUCGCCCAUGUGGGCGAAGGCGGUUAAGAGCCGGCACAAGCAGAAGUGUGAACACCUGGCAGCGUGUGCAUGUGCGCGACUGCGCCAGGGCGAGGGCCGGGACCCGCGGCAGGAGUUACCCCGUCCGGAAGGCACACGACCACGAGGCCCAGUAAGGCCCAGUCCUGUACACGCACACUCGCGGCCGCUCAUUCUCUCCGGUUCUGAGUGACCUCACCAUCUCAACCUCCGAUGACUCACAGCCCCCGGGGCCAGCGCGGCACGGCCGGAAGUCACCCUCCGCCCGGCAGCCCGCUACCGGCUUCCCGGCCCGACGGCUCCGAACCAGAGGUCGCGGCGCCCCCUGGCGGUCCCCCGGGACUCUUGCGACUCCCGGCGCCGGGCCCGGCGCACGCACGCGCACACGGCACCCUCAGGCCGACGUGCCUGAGUCCACAGCGCCCUCUGCCGGGCACGGUCUGGGAGACCUACCAGGUCACUCCUUGAGCCCAAGGCCACCGCAGGGCUGGGGACCCCUCCUCUGCUUCUCCCUUCCCUCCUCUCUUCUUCCUCUGCUGGAAGCAAGCCCUCCUGCAGUCUAACCCCCAAACCUGCACUCCCUCGAGUGAAGAACCCCCCCCCCACCGUGGGAGCCUCAGAACUGGGACACCAAGGCAGCCGGGUCUCUGCUUUCUCCAUGGCCCUCGGUCUCUCUCCCUCCCCAGACUGAGCUCGUCUAGGGCGGCCGGACCCGCACUCUGAGCACUCCAGCUCCUUCCAGACACGCUCCCACUCCCCCGAUCCCCGUGAGCUCCCAGCUAUUCUGUGCCAGGCACUGUUCUAUCCACUGGCAUCUUGGGGACCGCUCUGACCUCCGGAAGUUAAUAAACACAGAAGGGCUGUUUAUCCUGGGAGGCCCAGCCCCACCCCACUUUCCUUUUUCUCUCUCUCACACAGAAACAUCAACCUUGCUUGUGCUGAAAUGCAGCUUUAUUUCCUGCUGGUUUGGCAGGUACCCCAUCCUGCAAGCCCAGUCCCCUGGGAAGCCCGACGGUGGGCAACGUGCCCCCCCCCCCCAGGGGAUGGCAAGGAGAGGGCAGCUGAGGCACUUAGGGGCCUUCCCCGAGGCCCUGAGGGGAGAACCUGAGCCAAGGCAGGGGGGAGAGGGUCUAGUCUAGGCUGGAGCCGCCCAGGUGCUUCCCACAAACCCCUUGAGGCACUGCCGCCUGGAGGGCAGCUGCACCCUCCCGAGUGGUCAACCGGUGAUGGGGAGAGGGCAG